UACGUAGGUGGCAAGCGUUGUCCGGAAUUAUUGGGCGUAAGCGCGCGCAGGCGGCUUCUUAAGUCUGAUGUGAAAGCCCACGGCUCAACCGUGGAGGUCAUUGGAAACUGGGGAGCUUGAGUGCAGAAGAGGAGAGUGGAAUUCCAUGUGUAGCGGUGAAAUGCGUAGAUAUAUGGAGGAACACCAGUGGCGAAGGCGGCUCUCUGUCGUAACUGACGCUGAGGCGCGAAGACGUGGGAGC
rnacentral:rRNA from 1 species